UACGAAGGGGGCUAGCGUUGCUCGGAAUCACUGGGCGUAAAGGGUGCGUAGGCGGGUCUUUAAGUCAGGGGUGAAAUCCUGGAGCUCAACUCCAGAACUGCCUUUGAUACUGAGGAUCUUGAGUUCGGGAGGGGUGAGUGGAACUGCGAGUGUAGAGGUGAAAUUCGUAGAUAUUCGCAAGAACACCAGUGGCGAAGGCGGCUCACUGGCCCGAUACUGACGCUGAGGCACGAAAGCGUGGGGAGCAAACAGG
rnacentral:rRNA from 1 species